rnacentral:rRNA from 1 species
UACGUAGGGUGCAAGCGUUGUCCGGAAUUAUUGGGCGUAAAGAGCUCGUAGGCGGUCUGUCGCGUCUGCUGUGAAAACUCAGGGCUUAACCCUGAGCUUGCAGUGGGUACGGGCAGACUAGAGUGCGGUAGGGGAGACUGGAAUUCCUGGUGUAGCGGUGAAAUGCGCAGAUAUCAGGAGGAACACCGGUGGCGAAGGCGGGUCUCUGGGCAGUAACUGACGCUGAGGAGCGAGAGCGUGGGGAGCGAACAGG